AGAGGUGGUCUAUGGGGAAAAAUGAUUUUUGGGGUAUUUCUCGUUGUAAUACCGCGAGUGGCCACUAGGAAAAUUGGCUAUAAGGCUGAGCGGCAGCGGCGUCCUAUCCAGCUCUCUGUAUUAUACAUCCAUGGAGUGACGUCACGGUGUGUACGUCCAUUAUUUUUUACAGUCUCUGCCUAAUUUACAGCCGUAUAACCACAACUUCUGCAGUUCGAGUCCAGCUGCGGACCUUUGAUACAUGUGACCCUCCAUCACUCACUCCCUUCAAGUCCUGUCAUCUCUCCACUGUCUCAUUAAUAAACACUGAAAACGCCCCAAAAUAUAUUGAAAAAAACAAUCAAACUUGAAAACCUCUCCUUUAAGAUAUACUUUGUGAUUGGAUGUUUUAUUUCCCACAUGUUGUCAUCUGGCACUCAGAGCCCAAAGUCAAACAUUUUUCUUUCUUUUCUCUGUUUGGCGCAUAAAUGUGUCCGACUCGUUUUAUUUUGAACAUUUGGCUCUAAACCUGCCCGGCUACAUUUAUUUUGGCAUCCUGACCGGAAGAGAGCUGUUCCAGUCCUUCCAGUUUGACUCCACAGCGUCUCCAAACCAAACCCUGAAACUCUCCGCUGGCUUUCUGUCAGUGGCAGCAUCUUGUCCCCGCCGCCGGGCAGUCCGGAUCAUUGAAGCGAACCCACCCGCUUUCUCCUCCUCUCUCUCUCUCUCUCUCUGUCUCACUUUCUCUCCGAACUUUGGAGACUUUUGCGCGUCAACGAGGCGCAUUUUGGAUUUCUGGAGACGUUGAUGAGGAGUCUUUAAAAGUUUCAGCGCAAGAAAAACUCCCCCCCCCCAAAAAAAACUGAAGUGCAGAGUUUGUGGAGAGGGAGAAUGAUCCUGCAGGGGGACCAGCUGCCGCUCCAGUGAACACAUGGAGUCCCGUACAGCCGGCGGAGGAGGUGGAAGGUGGAGGCUCCGUCACGUCGUCCCGGUCGUACUGCUGUGGAUGACUCUGCACAGGAACGUGCUGGGCUGCGGCUCCACGAUCUGUAACAUGGUGCUGACGGACGCCCAGGGGGAAAUCAUAUCGCCCUGCUAUCCCCAGAAAUACCCCAAUUCUCAGGCCUGUAAGUGGAUCAUGCAGGCCCCCGCCGGCUUCAUCAUCCAGCUCUCCUUCCUGGACUUUGACCUGGAGGAGGCUCCAGGCUGCAUCUACGACCGGGUGGUGGUGAACACAGGAAACACGGACGUUAAGUUCUGCGGCCUGACAGCCAACGGGCUGACGCUGAACUCGACGGGCAACGUGAUGGAGCUGUCCUUUACCUCUGACUUCAGUGUGCAGAAGAAAGGAUUCAGUGUUAGCUUCAGACACGUCGCCGUGGCCCUGAGGAACCAGAAGGUCCGCAUAUCUAACGGCAACGGCAAGAUCACCAAAGUCGCCGACUCUGUUUCCAUACCGACGCUCAGUCAACUGACGCUGUGCUUUGAGCUGGAACGCAACAGCCAGAAACAGCAAGAGUGGAUCUUCACCUACCAUGACAGUAACAACAAAACAGCGCUGUCUCUGGGCUCCGAUCAGUCCAACAUGAAGCUGAUUACCGACGAAGUUUCUUGCUCCAUCGAGUCCAUCAUCUCCUCCAAUGAGUUCACCUCCUCCAUGAGGGCUUUCUGUGUGCUCUGGGCAUCGACCAACGGCCGUGUGGCGGUUUUUAUCAACGGCAACUACUGGGCCAAGACCUGCUCCUCGUCCAGCGGACACUCGGUGGGAGGAGGCGGAGUGUUCCGUUUAGGAGGGCAGCACAGCUUCGACGGCAGCAUCUAUAACCUGCGGCUGUGGGAUUACGCCAUGACGGUGGAGCAGCUGAGGGCGUUGACCUGCGACGCGACGGGGAACGUCAUCGACUGGGAAAACAGCUACUGGAACAUCCCGUCCACUCUGGCCCAGACCGACACCAGGCUCAGCUGCAUCUGCUACCCUUAUUGCAUUCACUUAACCUCUGCUGCGCCAACUAGUGGUGUCUCCCCACCCGGCAACACACCACUCACAACCAGCUGUGACUCCCCUGGACUGGGCUGCCCAGCCGCUUCCUCUCCCGCCACCCCAUCCACUGACUCCACUAACACCAUCCAUGCUACUAAUGCCAACACCCACGUCCUCUCUACCAUCAGUCCAUCUCCAUCCACCAUUCCUACUAGUAGCAUGCCUCUAACCCCAACCAUCAGCACCACCAGCAGCACAACCAGCUCCUCCUCCUCCCCCUCCACUGUUAUGCCUAGCACUACCAUCGCCAUCACCACCAGCGCUGCUACCUCUGCAUCUUCUACCACUAACGUUGCUUCAGCCAGCAGUACAGCAUAUGCCCAACAGACAACCAGCAGCACGCCUACUGUUUCAUCUGCUACCACUAACCACCCACCUACUAACCCUACAAAGCAUGUUCCAGGAACGACUCCUCCACUGUCAGUAACUACUAACCAACCAACCACUAACACUCCUACUACUGCUACUACUACCGCUACUACUACCACUACUACUACCACUACUACUACCACUACUACUACCGCUACUACUACUGUCUCCUCUUGGGAGGAGCUGUACUACAGGAUUUCCUUUGUGGUGGAUGUUAGCGGCUCGUCACUCAUACAGGCUGCCGUUGAGAAAGCUGUGGCUCUCUGGUUGAAUCAAACAUUUCAGAACUGGACCCAUGUAGUCCACGUGGACUCCGUCAGUGUCCAGCCUAGUUCAAAGACUGGAGGUGACACAAGUUAUUCGUGCCAGGCCCUGCUGGUUUAUUCUUACAUCACCAACGAGAGUCUGGGUGAAAAUGCUGUGACUGACAGACUUAAGAGCAACACAGUGAUAGGUGACAGCCUGCAGAUGAAGACCACCCCCACCCCCAAUGUCCAAUUAAUUGAAAACUGUCCAGAGGAGAAUCCGCUUCACUACCUCUGGCCUGAGAGCAGACCCACCGUCACUCAGUUCCUGCCCUGCUUCCCCAACAAGAAACAGAACGCCUCCAGGACCUGUUUGAUCAAUCGACAGAACUACUCGUCCCACUGGUCAGUUGCAGACUUCGGUAACUGCACGGACAUUGACACCAUCGAGGUGUCGGCAGAAAAUGCAGCUGAGGUGGCGGUGCAACUCGCCGAAAUCUCCGACAACAAGCUGUCCAAUGAAGAGGUGUCUAAAGUGGUGACGAAGGUGAAGCAGCUGGUAAACGUAGCGAAGAUCAACUCCACAUUGGCCACCACCGUUGUCACCAUCAUCUCCAACGUCAUGACGAGCUCUGAGACGGCGCUCGCUAGCACCUCUGAGAAAGCUCUGAAGACUGUAGACGAGCUGGCUCAGAAGGUCGAGUUUGACGGUCCGUCCAUCAGUAUCACCUCCAAACAUCUCGCUUUGGGGAUCUCGGCCCUCAACACCACCAUGUUCAACGGGACGUCCUUUAGCGCCUUCAUGCCUCCAAACACCACUGACCCAGAGAUUUAUUUUGAAUCAGAGAAAUCUAACGCUUUAGCUCAGGUCACCCUCCCUGCAUCCCUGCUGUCCGAGGCCGAGGUCGACAGAUCGUCUCUGUCCAGAAUCAACUUUAUGUUCUUCAGCAACGUAAACCUCUUCCAGAAAAAGCAGGGCAAGCUGUCUUUGAACAGCUACGUCGUGGCCAGCAGUGUGGGGAACUUCUCCAUCAAUAACCUGGAGCAUCCAGUAGAGAUCGAGAUUGUUCACCUCUCUGAAAAGCCUUCUGUGACUCCACACUGCAUGUUCUGGGACUUCAGCAUGAACAAUGGAGACGGAGGUUGGAAUGGAGAAGGCUGCGAAACGUCUAAAGAAUCCACCAGCAACAAAACCAUCUGUCUCUGUUACCACCUGACACAUUUUGGCAUCCUCAUGGACAUCUCCGGAGUUUCACUUCACAUCGAUGCAAAGAACAACAAGAUUCUGACCUUCAUCACCUACAUCGGCUGCGGCAUCUCCGCCAUCUUCUCUGCCGCCACGCUGCUCACUUACAUCGCCUUCGAAAAACUGCGGCGUGACUACCCCUCCAAGAUCCUGAUGAACCUCAGCACAUCCCUGCUGUUCCUCAACAUGGUGUUCCUCUUGGACAGCUGGUUGGCCAGUCUGAAAACCGAUUGGCUGUGCUUGUCGGUGGCCAUCUUCCUGCACUACUUCCUGCUGACCUCCUUCACCUGGAUGGGUCUGGAGUCCAUCCACAUGUACAUCGCUCUGGUCAAAGUCUUCAACACCUACAUACGCCGAUACAUCCUCAAGUUCUGCAUCGUCGGAUGGGGUCUUCCUGCCGUGCUGGUGGGGAUUGUCGUCGCCGUGGAUAAAAACUCUUACGGCCUGCAGGUGUACAGCAGAAGAGAGGAAGGAGAGGGAUCUGCAGAUUUCUGCUGGAUCCAGAAUUCAUUCGUCUUCUACACCACCUGCGUUGGUUACUUCUGUCUGGUGUUUCUGCUGAAUGUGGCCAUGUUUAUCGUGGUGAUGAUGCAGAUCUGCGGUCGCAACGGCAAACGCAGCAACCGCACGCUACGAGAGGAGGUUCUACGAAACCUGCGGAGCGUCGUCAGUCUCACCUUCCUGCUGGGUAUGACGUGGGGCUUCGCUCUGUUCGCCUGGGGACCCGUCAGUCUGGCUUUCAUGUAUCUGUUCUCCAUCUUCAACUCACUGCAAGGUCUCUUCAUAUUUAUCUUCCACUGUGCCUUGAAAGAAAACGUCCAGAAGCAGUGGAGGAGAUAUCUCUGCUGUGGACGCUUCAGGCUGUCAGAUAACUCAGACUGGAGUAAGACGGCCACCAACAACACCAAGAAGGUGAGCUCAGACAACCUGGGCAAGUCCCUGUCGUCCAGCUCGUUCGGCUCCAGCACCGCUAACUGGACCUCCAAGGCCAAAGCUACACUCAACCCCUUCACCAAACGACACAGUGACUCAGAUAAAUGUUAUUCCAACCAGACCAGUCCCAAGUGUGUCUCCUCAUCCUCUUCCUCCUCAGAGGUAGAGCCCAAUUCCUCUUCCUCCUCCUCUAUCCUCCCUGUCAGCCAGAUGAUCGACAAGGUGAAAGGUUACUGCUCCACGCGCUCUGACAACUUCUACAAGAACAUCAUCAUGUCCGACAGCUUCAGCCACAGCACCAGGUUCUAGAGCUGAUCCUGGUGCUCUGAGGCCUUGUGUUUCUGAACUGCGGCCACAUCAUUCUGGGAAAGUUUUGUGACAUCAUCAUGCUGGCAGCUUCAGUGACAGACAAGACUUCUGUUACGGGUUCCAGGAUCAAGGGUAACACUGGAACCACUGGUUAUUUAAAACUUUGAUUUUGUUCUGGAACUGUCACCCAACAUUCUAGAACCUUUCACACUCUAAAACUACUCCCAACAUUCUAGAAGUGUAUGAUGCUCUGGACCUACUCCCAACACUCUAGAACUCUCUGAUGCUCUGGACCUACUCCAACAUUCUAGAACUGUCUGACGCUCUGGAACUACUCCCAACAUUCUAGAACCCUCUGACACUCUGGACCUACUCCCAACAUUCUAGAACUGCCUGACAUUCUGGACCUACUCCCAACAUUCUAGAACCCUCUGACACUCUGGACCUACUCCCAACAUUCUAGAACUGUCUGAUGCUCUGGACCUAUUCCCAACAUUCUAGAACUGUCUGAUGCGCUGGACCUACUCCCAACAUUCUAGAACUGUCUGAUGCUCUGCAACUACUUCCAACAUUCUAGAACCCUCUUACACUCUGGAACUACUCCCAACAUUCUAGAACCCUCUGAUUCUCUGGAACUACUCUCAACAUUCAAGACUAUCUGAUGCUCUGGAACUGCCACCCAACAUUCUAGAACACUUUAAUUCUCUGGAACUACUCCCAACAUUCUAGAACCCUCUGAUUCUCUGGAACUACUCCCAACAUUCUAGAACUCUCUGACGUUCAUUCUAAAACCUUUCACACUCUGGACCUGUCACCCAACAUUCUAGAACCUUUAGUUCAGACAUGUCUGUAAUACCAUCAGGACAGAGAGGACUGAACAGUGUAGAGGUUUUUAGACAGCAGAGGUUACAGCUCUAGAGUUGAAAAAGUGACUUUUAUGAGUUUUGUAUGGACAUGGAUGAAAGUAAGUACAUCAGAAAAACUGUUGAAAGAAAUUCUGAAUGACAGACUGUAUUGAGUGGUAGAAGCUAGUGGAGCAGACGCUAGACAGGAAGUGGCUUCAUAACUUCCUCUCUCUAUGCCUGCAUCCUUCCUGCCAUCCUCCCUUUUCCUGGAACAUACUGUAUUUGUUAAAUUGUGUUUCAUCAUGUACAUUAUUUACAGACAUAGCUGUUAUAGGAGCCAACAUUUCUACUUUCAUUUUAAUUGGACCGAUUAGCAAAAAUUCAAGAUUUGUUUCUAUAUCUAGUCAUCAGAAUUCAUAAGGAGCUGGUCGAUUUGUUUUGCUGAAUAAUAAUUAGUUAGCGCAGGUUUCCUCUAUGCAGCAUUUAUAAUAUGUAGUAAAAUGCAUCAUCAGUAGCUAACAGAGCCACCAUCUUAAUGCACUGCCUUCACUUUUUUUAUAAAAGUACCAGCUAAAUCCAGAAAAAUCUGCCUUUUCAUGCACAAUUAUUAAAAGAUAGUCUCUGAAUUUUCUGCAACAAACUGCUCCAACGCCAGAGACCACAUUAAGAUAAUCACAGACAAAGUCGCACAUUAUUCUGUUAAAUCCCGGAGUCUUCUGGGUAAUAAGGGGUGUUAGAGAGCUGCGGGGUGGUCAGAGAGCGUUGAUGCGAUUCUACUGUAUCAUAUCACGUUACAGAAUCGGCUGACGUGGCUGCCAGACUGUGUAACUAAGAGGAAAUGAAAGGGAGCAGAGGAGAGAGCAGAGAGGGGAGGAAAGGAUAAACACAAGAGUGGUGGAAGAAUAUUAUUCAGCCUUCAGAAACAAUCCCCAAGAGACUGCGAAAGAAGAGAUGAAGCCCCUUUGGCAGCUCCUGUGGCAUACUUGGGUUAUUCUGUCAGUUACUGGCCUGAGUUCAGCCUGAGGGGUGAGUGCAGUGGAAAAGAUAGUUCCUGUUUUCUCUUCUGGCCCCAAAACAUCUCUUUAAUACACAAUAAUGAAGCACAACAGAAGAUUAAACCCACUAAAUUAAAAAGGAUUGUUGACAUAUGGGUGAUUUUAUGUCUCAUGUCCAACAUGUUAAGUGCUAAAAUAUGUUUCUAGCCUUUUUAUUCUAGAGAACAUAUCAAAGCACCUACUGAACAGCAGGAAGAAUAGUAAAUUUGUCGAAAUGAUCACCACACAGAGGGCAGACUUUAAGGGAAAUUAUCCAUCUGGGAACACCUAAGUGGAACUACUUCAUUCCAGUUUGCCUCUACCGUAUACUGCAUGCAUAAGGUUUUGUCAUUGUUUUUAAGUUAUUGUUGAUUUACAUAGAAAAAUUUGCAGGAAAAUUCGCAGAUGAAGAUGUUGAUUGAUUUAAAGGAUGCGGCUAAUUCAUUCUAUAUUAGUUCUUAUUGUCAACAAAUCCCAUCCCCAGUGUUUCUGAAUACUUUCCUACUUCUCUACUCUGCCAAGCCCAUUAGUUCCUGCUGAAAGCACCUCACAAAUAUAUAGUUUCAUUUUUAAACUAAACCUGAAAACAGGUAUAGCGGCAUCCAAACACUCACCACCCGGAUCGAUUAGGAAGCUAAGAUCUAAAAACACCUCACAGAUAUAUAGUUUUUAAAAGGCUCAGUAAUGCUCAAAAAACAGCAGGUCAGUGUAGUUAGUUAACAAACAGACGAAAGGAUGAAAUAGUGCAUUUGUUGGGGACUGUUUUCAGUGAAUCCACAUUUGCUGCUCUCGUGAGCAUUUCUGGCAGCAAGACGGUGUGUGUGGGCGUCGAGUCAAAAUAAACUACAGUGUGUGUGUUCAUGGUAAUGAAGGAACACGUCAUCCAGUGCAGCGGUGAGGUGUUUUUAAUCGUUUUUGGACAACAACGGAGGUCUACAGCACAGAGGAAUAAGAUAUAUCACAGAACUUAGUUAGUAGAUGCACGCAUUGUUGGUUUAGGUGUUUUUAUGGGAUUUGUUGACAAGAUGAAAAAUGUAGAAUAUUGCCGGACUUAUUGCGCAGGUGAGAAAAUUAUAGUCAAGUUAGAAAGAGUUCUGCUCUCAGUUCAGCUCUAAAUAAGUAAAAAAAACAAGAAGUAGUUCAACUACACACUGGUUCAGUUACAAAAUAAUCUCUAAUCUAAGUAAAUGGACCUUGAAGUUAAAAUUAAUUUGUCACAUGUUGUUACCAGAAGUCAAAAUCAAAUUUCCAUGCUGAAAUAUGACAUGGUUGAUUUUUAAAAUCUAACUUUUUCCAUUUAAAAAACAAAAAAAAACAAGGAUAAAUUGCCAGAUUUAAAAAUAAUGACACUUACGUAAACAAUAUACUGUUGGCAUGAGAUAAACAAAUAAUGUCACAACACUAAAUAAUAAACAGUCAAAAGAUGUAGAAAAUAGUUUUAUAUUUCUUUUGUUUUCAGUCCUUUGGCAGCUCAACACACAGUUUACAGUCAUCAAUCACUCUGCUAUAUAAACAGAAAUCAACUGAAAUCAACUGGAUUUGUGUGUUUUGUGUUGAAAAAGUGAAACGCUUGUUAUGCUGAGGUCAAACCUGCGCAGCCUCACAGUGACUGUGCUUCAUUACUAAGAGACACAUGGCUGCAAAAAAACUAUGAAAAACCCAAACAACCAUCACAGAGGCCUACUGAGGCGUACUGAGUAAACCGUCUGCACAGCCGGUUUCCAAACUCUGAUUAUGUUGAAUAAUUUGUCUUCUAACCCAACAAACGUCUCUCCGUCCAUCAUGUGGCUUUUGUUUCCUCUCACAUGUCGUAUGUACAGUUCCAAUUAAUUUAAAUAUUUCUUGCAGUAACUCUGAACUUUGUGUAGUUGAUGAAUAUUGUACCGAAUGCAGAUCUGUUCUGAUGAGGAUUGUAAUUGAUCUUUGCUUUUGUUGUUGUUUAGUAUUUGUAUUAUGAUAAUUAUUAUUCUGUAAACACUUUUGUGCACCCGGCCGUGUUGUUUCAGUCUGUGAUGUAAUUUCCUGGAAGCUCACUUCUGCGUCUCAACAUUAAAGGGAAUUCAAGCUCUUAAAAUGUGCACAGAGGUUUAUUCAAGCUUUAGUUUCACACAGACAAGUGAAGUCUGUUUCUUUUUAGCUGUUUUUUUUAUGCAAAAAGAUGUAUUUCCUCUUAAUUGAAAUGAUUUUUCUUAAAAAGGGAACUCAUACAAAAUAUAUUUUUUUGCAAUGUACACAUAAUUGCAUAGAUUCUUGAUGCCAUUAUUGUUAAAAGCUAUUAUUUGAUUGCAACAAACUGAUGCUAACGGUUUUAAUUUGAAUGUAUUUCACUUUGUAAAUGACCACAUCCUAUUGCACCAUAAUGCAUUUAAAGAAUAAAAUAUGAGA